AUUGAACGCUGGCGGCAGGCCUAACACAUGCAAGUCGAACGAGUGGCGGACGGGUGAGUAAUUUCUGGGAAACUGCCUGAUGGAGGGGGAUAACUACUGGAAACGGUAGCUAAUACCGCAUACCAUCGGAUGUGCCCAGAUGGGAUUAGCUAGUAGGUGGGGUAAAGGCUCACCUAGGCGACGAUCCCUAGCUGGUCUGAGAGGAUGACAAGCAACACUGAAACUGAGAAACGGUCCAGCGUCAUACGGGAGACAGCAGUGGGGAAUAUUGCACAAUGGGCGCAAGCCUGACGCAGCCAUGCCGCGUGUAUGAAAAAGGACUUCGGGGUGUAAAGUACUUUCAAGGGGGAGGCGUUACCCGCAGAAAAAGCACCGGCUAACUCCGUGCCAGCAGCCGCGGUAAUUC
rnacentral:rRNA from 1 species